UUCCUCCCAAGGAAUAUCCCAGAUGUACUCUCCCAGGUGGCACAGCAGAGCUGCUGCAUCUGUGGCCAGAGCGGGGCCACCAUCACCUGCUGCGAAACAGACUGUGACCUGAGCUUCCACCUGCCCUGUGCCAAGUAGGGAGGCCGUGUCACCCAGUUCAUUACACUAUACAGGGCCUUCUGCCCCACACACAGCCCAGAGCAGGCAGUGGAGGCGACUCCGGAGCCGGGCACCGAAUGCCUCAUCUGCAUGGAGCCUGUGGAGGACAGAAAGACCUUCAACACCCUGGUGUGCCCAGCCUGCAAAACCACCUGGUUCCACAGGGACUGCAU